GGGACCCCCCUGCCCCGCUCUCGGCCGGCGGGGCCGGCUGCUCUCUCUCUACCCUGGGGAGUAGCCUCCAGUUCUGGAUGUGAGAGACAUUAGAAGGAUGUUGUGAAAUAAAACCUAAAGAAGUCCACCGAGAUUCAUCAAUAAAGGAAGGAAUCCAUGGAGGAGCUUCAGUGUUACUGGGAGCCGUGGAAGUGAGGGAAGCCAAAAAGUCUCCUGCCACCUGCUCCCACUUGUGUUGCAGUUCAGUCCACCAGGGAUGGUGGCUUCCUCGGGCUGGUGCCUCCAGCAGUGGCAGGCUGGAGUGGUGUCUAACACACCCGUCAAAGGCUUUGGCGUGGGCACUUCAGUGUCCACCUUUCCUCUGUUUUUCCGUGUUCCUGAUCUAAUCGCACCAACAGAGCAGUCAAAAAUUAACCUCCUUCCACCUGGCCCAAACAGGCUCUUUUAGAAGAGUUUCUGGUGUCUGGCAUCAGCUUUGCCCUACCUUACAUAGACAAGUGCUAAAAUAAAUAUCAUCCUCUUAAAAUGUA